GUGAGACAGGUGCUGCAUGGCUGUCGUCAGCUCGUGUUGUGAAAUGUUGGGUUAAGUCCCGCAACGAGCGCAACCCUUAUCCUUUGUUGCCAGCGAUCCGGUCGGGAACUCAAAGGAGACUGCCAGUGAUAAACUGGAGGAAGGUGGGGAUGACGUCAAGUCAUCAUGGCCCUUACGACCAGGGCUACACACGUGCUACAAUGGCGCAUACAAAGAGAAGCGACCUCGCGAGAGCAAGCGGACCUCAUAAAGUGCGUCGUAGUCCGGAUUGGAGUCUGCAACUCGACUCCAUGAAGUCGGAAUCGCUAGUAAUCGUGGAUCAGAAUGCCACGGUGAAUACGUUCCCGGGCCUUGUACACACCGCCCGUCACACCAUGGGAGUGGGUUGCAAAAGAAGUAGGUAGCUUAACCUUCGGGAGGGCGCUUACCACUUUGUGAUUCAUGACUGGGGUGAAGUCGUAACAAGGUAACCGUAGGGGAACCUGCGGUUGGAUCACCUCCUUACCUUAAAGAAGC
rnacentral:rRNA from 1 species